CGCGGUUGCCGCAUAGAUGAUGAUCACGCCGAGAUACGAAUUGAUCAGGCUGAGCUUGAUCAGAAUGAGGUAGAGCGGGAGCAAGAGCAUCGUCGCAGGGAACAUCUGCGUGACGAGGAGGCCAUUGAGCAUUGAGCUGCGGCCGAGGAAUUUGAACCGGGAGAGCGCGUAACCUGCCGUCGAGGCCAGCGCCACGCCCGUCACCGUGACGGCGAACGCAAUAAUCGCCGAAG
rnacentral:misc_RNA from 1 species